rnacentral:tRNA from 1 species
GCGGGGAUAGCUCAGUUGGGAGAGCGUCAGACUGAAGAUCUGAAGGUCAUGUGUUCGAUCCACAUUCACCGCA